rnacentral:lncRNA from 1 species
CCAAUUCAGAAUCCACAUCGCUCUCCGACUCUUCCGGCAGGUUUCACAAGCACAGCUGUGAACGAGUAAUGAGGAGAGCGCAUGGAAGGCGGAGCGGGGGUUAGGAGGGCAGGAUGCGGGCACCGGGCCGGGUGGGCACACUGACAAGGGAGAGGAACCCUGAGCAUUUGCAGGCUGGCUCGGGCAGUGUUCUGGGCUCAGGAGUGGCUUUAGGGUGCUCUACAUGAGGACUAGAAUGUGGCAGGAGUGUGGGAAAGGGGUAGCAAACAGUGAGAGAAACAG